CAUCUAAAUAGUUAAUUUUCCUUCAGGUCUUCAAACCACUUGAUCUGCAAUCGCUACCAAAGCAUCCAUGUCUUAGGGACAUCAAUGUUGAGGUGUGAGGAACUAUGGAUGGCAUAGCCGUGAACACCAAAAUUAAAGAUGCAGUAGCUGUAGCAACUUGGUUUGCGUCUUAUUACAUAUUAGGGUGCUUUGUUAGAAUAAAUCCAGUGUCUGGCUCCAAAGUAGAAAGGGAAAAGAUUGUUUAUCAGAAAUUCUCCCUAAGACUUUAAGCUUUCUAUCUUUGACAGUUGGGUGAAAGAUUGUCGACAUUAAUAAAUUCAUCAAUUUUUUAUUCUUUCCUUCAUUCACAGGGUGCGUAACAUUUUAAAAAAGUGUUUAAAGGUGUUUAUUUUGCUUAUAUGAAAUGAUCUGUAGAAAUUAAUAAAGUCAUUUUUGUUAUUUGUAA